rnacentral:rRNA from 1 species
UACAGAGGGGGCAAGCGUUAUUCGGAAUUAUUGGGCGUAAAGGGCGCGUAGGCGGCGAUUCAAGUGACGGGUGAAAUCCCUCGGCUUAACCGAGGAACUGCCUGUCAGACUGGAAGGCUUGAGACCGGGAGAGGUGAGUGGAAUUCCCAGUGUAGCGGUGAAAUGCGUAGAUAUCAGGAGGAACACCAACAGCGAAGGCAGCUCGCUGGGACGGUAUUGACGCUAAGGCGCGAAAGCGUGGGGAGCGAACAGG